rnacentral:rRNA from 1 species
AGAGUUUGAUCCUGGCUCAGGAUGAACGCUGGCGGCGUGGAUAAGGCAUGCAAGUCGAACGGAUUCUUUAUUGAAAAGAUUUGAGAUUACAUCAAGAUGAAAAGAUAUAAAGAAUUAGUGGCAGACGAGGUAGUAACACGUGGGUACAUUCCCUUUAGUCACGAAUAGCCCGCCGAAAGGCGGAGUAAUACGUGAUGGUCUCGAAAGAGUAAAGAUUUAUCGCUAAAGGAUUGGCCUGCGGGGUAUCAGCUAGUUGGCAGUGUAAUAGACUACCAAGGCUAUGACGCCUAGGGGAGGUGAGAGCCUGACCCCCACCGAUGGGACUGAGACACGGCCCAUACACCUACGGGUGGCUGCAGUCGAGAAUCUUCCACAAUGGACGAAAGUCUGAUGGAGCGACGCCGCGUGAUUGAUGAAGUCCUUCGGGACGUAAAGAUCUUUUAUGAGGGAAGAAGUUUAUUGACGGUACCUCAUGAAUAAGGGGCUCCUAAUCUCGUGCCAGCAGGAGCGGUAAUACGAGAGCCCCGAGCGUUAUCCGGAAUUAUUGGGCGUAAAGGGUGCGUAGGCGGUUAUGUUAGUCGUGUGUUAAAACCCGAAGCUCAACUUCGGAUAUGCGCACGAAACGGCAUUGACUUAGAAUGAAGGAGAGGUGUGCGGAACUCAUGGUGUAGGGGUGAAAUCCGUUGAUAUCAUGGGGAACACCAAAAGCGAAAGCAGCACACUGGCCUUUUAUUGACGCUGAGGCACGAAAGCGUGGGUAGCGAAUGGGAUUAGAUACCCUGGUAGUCC